UGUUUAUGAUGGUCUCUACACUAUCUGGCCAUGGGUCUGUACACGAGGCGUUGGUGUAGUGAUGUCGACCCUAUAACUGUAGCCUACAGAUUGGGCAACACUAGGCCAGAAACAUUACUUUCCCUAUACACAUCGAACUGUCAGGGAGCAUGGUAGAUCGAUCGAGCGCUGUUGCUAGAAGAAUGAGCAAUGCUACAGUCCAGAAACGCUACUUACUUAAUCUCCUUUUGGACAUAGAACUGCCGAGGAGCAUGGUAGAGCGCAGUAGCUUAGCUAGAAUUCUUAACAUAUGAUUAUGUCUGCAAUCAGAUCUUAAUUGAUUGGGUCAAACAAGAUGGAUGGGAUACAUCUGCAUAGAUUAGCACGUGCACAUAUGUGCAGUACAUGAAUUUGAUACUCAAUUGUCACAACGAUAUGUGGCGACCAUCCUGACAUACAACGUAUGUUUGAAAUGGGUGAGUCAAGAUCGACACUAUACUUGGAGCAUGCUGGUCUUGGAGAGAGACAAAUGUCUUUUGAAGAUUUUGAUAACUAGCAGCGCAGAAUUUGGUGCCAGACUUACGAAGGAGCAUCCAAAGCUAGCAGAAGUUGGCAGCCUCGAGCUACUCAGGGUCUUGUGUGACCUUAGCUGAUGGAAUCACCUAUUGACGCGGGUACACUCCGUUGUUCCUGAGCAGAGCGGGUUGGUUGAGCCAGGGUCUUCAUAUGGCCAUUCUCUAGAUCACCGAGUGAACCAACAGAAGCACAACCAAAGGAGAUCGAAAUGCUGCUAUUGUGAGAUGCUGGUGCCAAUGUCACACUUUCGGGAGCAUCUACAGUUGUACGGGAUUGAUCACAGCAAUGAUGAUAACAUGUCUCUGUCACCUCUGCCAAUAUUUCUUGUUGAAAACUGCAACAUGUCAAAUGGUUCAUAUGUGUUAUUAGAUGGACAGUUUUUAACCUGUUGAGUAUAAGGUAUGCUCCACAGAAAGUGUACUUUAGGUGCACGUAUGAGGGUAUAAACACACGUUCAUGUAUUGACAGAUAUAUGCAUUCGUUGGUCUGUCAAUCUGCAGUUGAGUGAGACCUUUAAUUCUAGCCAUUUUGGUGCAGGUGAUCUACAAUGAUAUGUUGGUGAGCAUGUCUGAGACGUACAGAUUUGUUCCCUAAUAGAAACAGCAAAUAUACAUGUCAUCCUUUUUGAAAUCCAUUAAUUAAUUAAAUCUUAUCGCGAUAGUUACCUCAGAG